UCGUCGGGCUCAUAACCCGAAGGUCGUAGGUUCAAAUCCUACCCCCGCAACCA
rnacentral:tRNA from 1 species